rnacentral:rRNA from 1 species
AGUGAACGCUGGCGGUAGGCCUAACACAUGCAAGUCGAACGGCAGCACAGUAAGAGCUUGCUCUUACGGGUGGCGAGUGGCGGACGGGUGAGGAAUACAUCGGCAUCUACUUUUUCGUGGGGGAUAACGUAGGGAAACUUACGCUAAUACCGCAUACGACCUACGGGUGAAAGCAGUGGAUCUUCGGACCUUGCGCGACUGAAUGAGCCGAUGUCGGAUUAGCUAGUUGGCGGGGUAAAGGCCCACCAAGGCGACGAUCCGUAGCUGAUCUGAGAGGAUGAUCAGCCACACUGGAACUGAGACACGGUCCAGACUCCUACGGGAGGCAGCAGUGGGGAAUAUUGGACAAUGGGCGCAAGCCUGAUCCAGCCAUACCGCGUGGGUGAAGAAGGCCUUCGGAUUGUAAAGCCCUUUUGUUGGGAAAGAAAAGCAGCAGGUUAAUACCCCGCUGUUCUGACGGUACCCAAAGAAUAAGCACCGGCUAACUUCGUG